rnacentral:rRNA from 1 species
CCCUUAGAUGUUCUGGGCCGCACGCGCGCUACACUGAUGCAUUCAACGAGUCUAAAACCUGCUCUGAUAGGGGUGGGUAAUCUUUUGAAUGUGCAUCGUGAUUGGGAUAGAUGAUUGCAAUUUUUCAUCUUCAACGAGGAAUGCCUAGUAAACGCAAGUCAUCAGCUUGCAUUGAUUACGCCCCUGCCCUUUGUACACACCGCCCGUCGCUCCUACCGAUUGAAUGAUCCGAUGAAUAUCAUGGAUUGAGGAUGCAAGUAGGUUAGCCUAUCUUCAUCUUCGAGAAGUGAAGUAAAUCUUAUCAUUUAGAGGAAGGAGAAGUCGUAACA